GACGAACGCUGGCGGCGUGCUUAACACAUGCAAGUCGAACGGUGAAGCGCCUUCCUUUUUGGUGGGUGUGGAUGAGUGGCGAACGGGUGAGUAACACGUGAGUAACCUGCCCCCUUCUUCUGGAUAACCGCAUGAAAGUGUGGCUAAUACGGGAUAUUCUGUGUCUGUCGCAUGAUGGGUCUGGGAAAGAUAUUGUUUCGGUGGGGGAUGGGCUCGCGGCCUAUCAGCUUGUUGGUGGGGUGAUGGCCUACCAAGGCGGUGACGGGUAGCCGGCCUGAGAGGGUGGACGGUCACACUGGGACUGAGACACGGCCCAGACUCCUACGGGAGGCAGCAGGGGGGAAUAUUGCACAAUGGGCGCAAGCCUGAUGCAGCGACGCCGCGUGAGGGAUGGAGGCCUGCGGGUUGUGAACCUCUUUCGCCAGUGAAGCAGGCCUGCCUCGUUUGUGGGUGGGUUGACGGUAGCUGGAUAAGAAGCGCCGGCUAACUACGUG
rnacentral:rRNA from 1 species